rnacentral:rRNA from 1 species
GAUGAACGCUGGCGGUAUGCUUAACACAUGCAAGUCGAACGGACUCUUCGGAGUUAGUGGCGGACGGGUGAGUAACGCGUGAGAAUCUGGCUUUGGGUUCGGGACAACCACUGGAAACGGUGGCUAAUACCGGAUGUGCCGAGAGGUAAAAGAGAAAUUGCCUGAAGAUGAGCUCGCGUCUGAUUAGCUAGUUGGUGAGGUAAAGGCUCACCAAGGCAGCGAUCAGUAGCUGGUCUGAGAGGAUGACCAGCCACACUGGGACUGAGACACGGCCCAGACUCCUACGGGAGGCAGCAGUGGGGAAUUGUCCGCAAUGGGCGAAAGCCUGACGGAGCAAUACCGCGUGAGGGAAGAAGGCUCUUGGGGUGUAAACCUCUUUUCUUAGGGAAGAACAAAAUGACGGUACCUAAGGAAUCAGCAUCGGCUAACUCCGUG